rnacentral:rRNA from 1 species
GUACCCCAAACCGACACAGGUGGUCAGGUAGAGAAUACCAAGGCGCUUGAGAGAACUCGGGUGAAGGAACUAGGCAAAAUGGUGCCGUAACUUCGGGAGAAGGCACGCUGGUGUGUAGGUGAAGCCCCUGCGGGUGGAGCUGAGACCAGUCGAAGAUACCAGCUGGCUGCAACUGUUUAUUAAAAACACAGCACUGUGCAAACACGAAAGUGGACGUAUACGGUGUGACGCCUGCCCGGUGCCGGAAGG